rnacentral:lncRNA from 10 species
AAAAAUCGCCUGAUGAUGCAUGUGAAGGGCUGGAAUGAAGUUGUUUUAAUACAUGGGAAUGGAAACAGACACUAUUCCAAGGAUGACAGAUUAUCUUAUAUGUGGUUUUAAAAUAUGUCUAUACAAGUAAAUAAAUAUUACAUGUACACUGUAGAUUAUGUCACCAAUAUUUCUAGAGGUUUACAUUUUCACCUUCCCUUUUCUGGUUCACCUUGGAAAGUGGGUGUUGCCGCAUUCUGUCUGGGUGCUGGUGGUACUUGUUUAAAAUGAUGCUUUCGUGUUUACCUUGAACCAUGGUGUAGAAAGAAUCGAUCGAGGACAGAUUUGAAGUGAUGCUGACAUCUUCUUCUCGGCUAGAUGACUCAAUGUCCACUGUGAUAGCCUUGUCCAUGUCCCCAUGCAGCACCAGAGAAAAUUUCAAAAAUGAUGGUGUCGUCUGAAGAA